GACGAACGCUGGCGGCGUGCCUAAUACAUGCAAGUCGAACGAACUCUGGUAUUGAUUGGUGCUUGCAUCAUGAUUUACAUUUGAGUGAGUGGCGAACUGGUGAGUAACACGUGGGAAACCUGCCCAGAAGCGGGGGAUAACACCUGGAAACAGAUGCUAAUACCGCAUAACAACUUGGACCGCAUGGUCCGAGUUUGAAAGAUGGCUUCGGCUAUCACUUUUGGAUGGUCCCGCGGCGUAUUAGCUAGAUGGUGGGGUAACGGCUCACCAUGGCAAUGAUACGUAGCCGACCUGAGAGGGUAAUCGGCCACAUUGGGACUGAGACACGGCCCAAACUCCUACGGGAGGCAGCAGUAGGGAAUCUUCCACAAUGGACGAAAGUCUGAUGGAGCAACGCCGCGUGAGUGAAGAAGGGUCUCGGCUCGUAAAACUCUGUUGUUAAAGAAGAACAUAUCUGAGAGUAACUGUUCAGGUAUUGACGGUAUUUAACCAGAAAGCCACGGCUAACUACGUGCCAGCAGCCGCGGUAAUACGUAGGUGGCAAGCGUUGUCCGGAUUUAUUGGGCGUAAAGCGAGCGCAGGCGGUUUUUUAAGUCUGAUGUGAAAGCCUUCGGCUCAACCGAAGAAGUGCAUCGGAAACUGGGAAACUUGAGUGCAGAAGAGGACAGUGGAACUCCAUGUGUAGCGGUGAAAUGCGUAGAUAUAUGGAAGAACACCAGUGGCGAAGGCGGCUGUCUGGUCUGUAACUGACGCUGAGGCUCGAAAGUAUGGGUAGCAAACAGGAUUAGAUACCCUGGUAGUCCAUACCGUAAACGAUGAAUGCUAAGUGUUGGAGGGUUUCCGCCCUUCAGUGCUGCAGCUAACGCAUUAAGCAUUCCGCCUGGGGAGUACGGCCGCAAGGCUGAAACUCAAAGGAAUUGACGGGGGCCCGCACAAGCGGUGGAGCAUGUGGUUUAAUUCGAAGCUACGCGAAGAACCUUACCAGGUCUUGACAUACUAUGCAAAUCUAAGAGAUUAGACGUUCCCUUCGGGGACAUGGAUACAGGUGGUGCAUGGUUGUCGUCAGCUCGUGUCAUGAGAUGUUGGGUUAAGUCCCGCAACGAGCGCAACCCUUAUUAUCAGUUGCCAGCAUUAAGUUGGGCACUCUGGUGAGACUGCCGGUGACAAACCGGAGGAAGGUGGGGAUGACGUCAAAUCAUCAUGCCCCUUAUGACCUGGGCUACACACGUGCUACAAUGGAUGGUACAACGAGUUGCGAACUCGCGAGAGUAAGCUAAUCUCUUAAAGCCAUUCUCAGUUCGGAUUGUAGGCUGCAACUCGCCUACAUGAAGUCGGAAUCGCUAGUAAUCGCGGAUCAGCAUGCCGCGGUGAAUACGUUCCCGGGCCUUGUACACACCGCCCGUCACACCAUGAGAGUUUGUAACACCCAAAGUCGGUGGGGUAACCUUUUAGGAACCAGCCGCCUAAGGUGGGACAGAUGAUUAGGGUG
rnacentral:rRNA from 2 species